UACGUAGGAGGCGAGCGUUGUCCGGAAUUACUGGGCGUAAAGAGCUCGUAGGUGGUUUGUCGCGUUGUCCGUGAAAACUCACAGCUUAACUGUGGGCGUGCGGGCGAUACGGGCAGACUGGAGUACUGCAGGGGAGACUGGAAUUCCUGGUGUAGCGGUGGAAUGCGCAGAUAUCAGGAGGAACACCGGUGGCGAAGGCGGGUCUCUGGGCAGUAACCGACGCUGAGGAGCGAAAGCGUGGGGAGCGAACAGG
rnacentral:rRNA from 1 species